GCAUAACUUGACUUGUAUUAUAUUAUGAUACAAAAUACAAACUUAUAUCGAGAAAGAAAAAUCCCUAUUGAGAAGUUUGCACUUCAUAGCUAUUCUGCUUAUUUUUUGGGGGGGGUUCAAUUUUUAAAUUUUUAUUAAUAAAUUAACUCAAUCCAUAGAUUCUAUAGAACGUUUCAUUUAGAUAGAUAAGUAGCUUGGCAUUGCUCUUCAGAAGAGGGUAAAAGUCUUGCGCUGCAAAGUUGAAGGCUUCUCAUACACUUCUCAUGUUUGGACAGUCUUGCCAUCAAAAUCUAGAGUAUUUGUUCUGACGAGUUGUAACACGUUCGUCAUCAUCUAGUGGUGUGGUGAAUUGUGAUUCUUGAGAAACUUUUGUAAGUUUAGACAAGAACAAGAUUUGAAUGCUACUUAAUAGUUGUCCCUUGAUUGUCAGUUUCAACCUUGAGUAUUGUAUGUUAGGUUCAAUAUGUAUGAAAAGUGUGAAUGGAAAAUGGAGGAAAAAUAGUGGAGAGAAAAAGAGACACUAAAAUGGAAAGUGUACUUUUUUAAAGGAAAGUUCACUAAUUCUCCCACAUUGGUGGGAGAAGGGAACUUUGAAGUGUUUAUAAUAAGAAGCACUUACUCCACAUGGAUAGUGAGGCAAGAACAAGGUGGUGCCUCGCGCCGUCAUCGUCGUCGCUCACUCAGCUUCAUAUUUAGAUUUGAAUAAUGAUCGAUCGAUGAGAUCUAUCUUUUUAGACAAAGUUUAUUUGAUAGAAAUUUAAUCUGAAAAUACCAAAGGGAAAAAUGCAAUAAUUUUUUCUGUGUUUUGAUCCUCCAUUUAUAUGCAUUCAUGCAGUGGUGGAACACUAUUUUGAAAUGUAGUGCAGAAGCGAAUUGAUGCUUCGGAAGGGAUGUAACCCUUCAAUGUAAUAACACACAGAUUCAUAAAAUGGCAUGUCUGUUCGAAAAAGACGCAUUCUUUGGACAAACAAACAUGAUUUUCCAGAAAGGUUAUACCUUUUAAUUGAACCAUUGCCACCUUUCAGAAGAGACACCUGAUGGCUAUAUAAACCUGCUUUCAUCCACAGGUUUAGGAACGACAAAAAAAUUUCUGAACGUCCAAACUCUUCUUGUCUUAAAAAAACAUUCCAUGUGAUCAAUCAAACCGUUGAGUGAGUUCAAAGAUAUUCCAAUUGUUUGAGGUACAGCUACAGUUGGUUUGUUUGGCCAUUUUAUCUAGGGAGGAAGAUUCCAUAACCUCGGGUACAGUGAGGGAAAUUAUUCCUUAAGGACACUCCGUGAAGUCAGGGGACUUGGCCUUAAAAUUCUAUUUUAUCUCAUUUCUGAAGGUUAACAUACUUCUUGGAUAGAUUAUUUAUAAUCCUAGGUUGAAGGUGUUAAGGAACUUCAUAAGUGUUCUAGUCUUAGACUUGGACUUGUGUUGAAGUUAUUCUUGCAUGUAUAUACAGAUUCUUGUACCCGAAAACAUUUUAAAUAACAAUCUUAAAGAAUAAUAUUUUUGGAAUCUGUAUAGCUUGUUUUUGAAGAUUAAAGCUUUAAGCUUUCUACUCCGUUUGAACUUAACUAGUGAUUUGAAGACAUAAAUCUUCAUCAAAAGUUAAUUAUCACUCGGUUAACGAUUGAAAGUCAUAAAAAAUUCAUCGUUAAACUAGAAACAAGAAGUGUUUAAAGUUACUGCAACUUUUAAUAAGUAUUUCGAUAUACUAAAGGUAUUGUCUUGUGGUGACAGGAAAAUGACGACUGAUAGUCAAAUGCAUAAUGCUGGAAUGACUAUGGCGGCAACUAGUAUUGCCACGGAGAGUCGUGCUAAUGCUCUGCAAGCUAUGUCACCGGCGAAGAAACUCAGAAAGUUCGCGGGUAUUGACUUCAAGAGAUGGCAGGAAAAAAUGUUCUUCUACUUCAUAACUCUUUGUCUUCAAAGGUUCACGGUUGAGGAAACUCCAGAGCUGCCCGAGGGAACCUUUGAAAAAGAACGCUUCGUGAUUGUGGAGGACACUCAGAUUUCCUUUGCAGGAAUUACAUCUGGAGUGGUCUCUAAGAUGACCUUUACAAUGUAUACAAUGGAACAAAGACUUCGAAAGAGUUAUGGGGAGCGCUAGAACGGAAGUAUAAGACGGAGGAUGUAGGAACUAAAAAGUUCUUUGUUGCAAGAUUCCUGGAGUAUAAAUGGUAGACAACAAGUCUAUUGUUUCCCAAGUGCAAGAACUACAAAUGAUCAUCCAUGAUCUCCUUGCGAAAGGUAUAAUUUUGACAAAUACCUUUGUUGAACCAAUUAAAAAUGGUCUUAAUAUUCACUUAACCUUUAUUGUAGGUCUGAUUAUGAAUGAGGUGUUUCAAGUAGCAGCAAUAAUAGAGAUGUCAGUCGAAGAUCUGAUUGUACAGCUAUGCAUUGAAAAAGAUAAUAAGACUAUGGAAAGAAGGUCAAGAGGCAAUUCUAUAAUGAAUGGAGCAAACAUUAUAGAAGAUAACCAAAAUAACUCCAAAAAGUGAAAGAAAGCUGGAAAUGAAAGCAAUCAACCCAAGGAGAAAUUCAAAGAAAAGUGCUUCAACUGUGGCAAGAUUAGCCACAAGUCUACGGAUUUUUGUACCCCGAAGAAAGGGAAAAAGAAGGACCAAGCAAAUUUGGCUGAGUCUAAGAAAGAAAUGGAUGAUCUGUGUGCUAUACUUUCCGAAUGCAGAUUGGUGGGAAAUCCUCGCAAAUAGUAGAUGGAUUUUGUGCCACCCGCCAUGUUUGUGCUAACAAGGAGUUGUUUUCAACGUUCGCUCUGACUCAAGUAGAAGAAAAGAUCUACAUGGAAAACUCCACUACUACAAAAGUGGAAGGAACUGGAAAAGUGUGCUUGAAGAUGACUUCCAGCAAGGUGUUGACACUAAACAAUAUCUUCUAUGUUUCGGAGUUACAAAAGAACUUGAUUUCUGUUUCACUUCUAGACAAAAACGGAUUCAAAUGUGUAUUUGUUUGCAAAAAAAUUGUACUUAGUAAAGGAGAAGUGUAUGUAGGAAAAGACUACCUCAAUGAGGGCCUAUUCAAAAUGAAUGUAAUAAAUGUUGAAAUCAAUAAAAGUUCAAAUUCUUCUUACUUGCUUGAGUCUCCCAAUUUGUGGCAUGAACGAAUAGGCUAUGUUAAUUACAAAACAUUACGAAAACUGAUUAAAUUAGAAGUUUUGCCAAACUUUGAGUCCAAUAAAUCAAAGUGUCAAACUUGUGUGGAAUCAAAGUAUACUAAGCGUCCGUAUAAGUCCGUUAAAAGGAAUUCCAAUCCCUUAGACUUAAUCCACACUGACAUUUGUGAUAUGAAGUCAACACCAUCAUGUGGUGGAAAAAAGUAUUUCAUAGCUUUUAUUAACGAUUGCACUAGAUAUUGUUAUGUCUACUUGCUAAAUAGUAAGGAUGAAGCAAUAGAAGCAUUUAGGCAAUACAAAACUGAAGUUGAAAAUCAGUUAGAGAAAAAGAUCAAAACUAUAAGAAGUGAUUAUGAAUCUCCUUUCGCCGUAGAGAAUGAAAUUGUCAAUCAAAAUAUGGCCCCGUAUUCACCUCAAUUUAAUGGAAUUGCAGAAAGGAAAAACCGAACUUUGAAGGAAAUGAUGAAUACCUUACUUAUAAGUUCAGGUUUACCGCAAAGCUUGUGGGGAGAGGCUAUCCAUACAGCCAACCGUAUACUCAAUAGAGUUUCCCAUAGUAAGACACAAUCAAUUCCUUAUGAAAAAUGAAAGAGGAAGGAAACUCAACUUGAAAUAUUUCAAAGUGUGGGGGUGUCUGGCAAAGUUUCAAGUUCCUAUGCCUAAAAGGGUUAAGAUAGGACCUAAGACGGUGGACUGCGUGUUCAUAGGAUAUGCUAAAAGUAGUAAAGCAUGUUGAUUUUUGGUUCAUAAAUUCAAACAUUCGAAUAUUAAUAAAAACACGAUAAUUAAAUCAAAUAACGCUAAAUUCUUUGAAAAUAUUUAUCCGUAUAAAACUAGACAUGAACAGUUUAGUGGAGGGUCUAAAUGACCUCGAUAUGAACCAAGUGAGAAUGUACAUAAUGAUGAGAAUCCAAGACGUAGUACACGUCAAAUAACGUUAAAUUCAUUUGGAUCAAAUUUUGCAACAUUUCUCUUAGAAAAUGAGCCUCAAACAUUUAAAGAAGCGAUGGCAUCUUCGGACUCAUCCUUUUAGAAAGAGGCAGUCGAUAGUGAAAUUGAUUCAAUCUUAAGCAACCAUACAUAGGAGUUGGUUUAUCUUCCUUCAAAAAACAAACCUUUAGGUUCUAAAUAGAUCUUCAAAAGAAAAAUUAAAGUUGAUGGUACUAUUGAUAAAUACAAGGCAAGACUUGUAGUAAAAAGCUUCAAACAAAAAGAAGGCCUUGAUUACUUUGAUACAUACUCGCCGAUAACAAGGAUAGCAUCGAUUCAAAUUUUAAUUGCCUUAGCAGCGAUAUAUGGUCUUGAAAUCCAUCAAAUGAAUGUGAAAACAGCAUUCCUGAAUGGAGAAUUGGAGGAAGAAAUUUACAUGGAACAGUCUGAGGGUUUUGUGGUUUUAGGAAAAGAAAAUAAGGUGUGUCAGCUUGUUAAGUCACUUUAUGGACUAAAACAAGCACCUAAGCAAUGGCAUGCAAAGUUUGACCAAAUCUAUAUUGGCAAACAGAUUCAAAAUUAAUGAAUGUGUAUUAAAAACACUCCAUAUCACCCAGUCAUUGUGUGUUUAUAUGUGGAUGACAUAUUGAUCAUCAGUAGAUACAUUUCAGACAUAAAUGCAAUGAAAUGAAUGCUCGAGAGAAAUUUUGAUAUGAAAGACCUUAGAGUUGCGGAUGUGAUCUUAGGGAUAAGAAUCCAUAGAACUCCACAAGGGUUGGCAUUGUCACAGCCUCAUUAUAUCGAAAAGGUACUUGACAAAUUCAAGUAUAUAAAAUUUGGUAUUGCCAAGACUCCAUUGAAUGUGAGCUUUGCACUUUGAAAGAAUGAAGGUGAAAAUGACUCAUAAUUGGAGUACGUAAGAGUAUUGAGAUGUUUAAUGUAUAUAAUAAACUGUACACAACCAGACAUAGCAUGUGCUAUAAGUAAGUUGAGUCGGUACAUGAGUAAUCCUAAUAAAACUCAUUGGAUGGCAAUGAAAAGAGUUUUGAGGUAUCUUAAAUACACUCAAGACUAUGUUUUUCAUUAUAAUAAAUAUCCCGCGGUACUUGAAGGAUAUAGUGAUGUAAAUUGGAUCACCAGAUCGAAUGAAGUAAAAUCUACGAGUGGAUAUGUAUUUACUAUCAGUGGAGGAGCGGUCUCUUGGAAAUCAUCUAAACAGACUUGUAUGGCUCGCUCUACAAUGGAAUUUGAAUUUAUCGCAUUGGAUAAAGCUGGUAAAAAAGCAGAAUGGUUCUAGAAUUUCUUGGAAGAUAUUCCUUAUUGGCGUAAACCAAUGGCACCAGUAUGUAUACACUAUGAUAGCCAAGUGGCAAUAGAACGGUAAAUAUCGUCACAUAAGACGAAGACAUAAUACCGUUAGAGAAUAUAUCGCUAUUGGAAUUAUCACUGUUGACUAUGUGAAUUCAAAGGAUAAUGUAUCGGAUCAACUUACACAAGGCCUAUCUAGAGAAAGAGUUGAGAAAACAUCCAAGGGAAUGGGUUUAAGGCCUAGGACAAGUCAGCAUAACGGUAACUCUACCUAGCAGACUGGAGAUCCCAAGAGCUAGGUUCAAGGAGAUCAAACAAAGUUGUGUCUGACAGGUUCAACAUUGUCAAAUACCCAACUCAUUCUCAUGAUGUAGACAAUUUUUUAGUAAACGAGGAUAAGACUUAUGGUGUGAAGUCUUUUAAUGAUUAUUAAAUUUGGCAGAUUUGACUAAAUAGUUUAAUAUAUAGGAUUGAACGUUUAGAAAUCACCUAGACGAAGUGGAAUCCGCUUCAAGGAGAAUGUUAGUAAAGGCCUAUUCUCCAUUCAUGUGGGGGAUUGUUGGGUUCAAUAUGUAUGAAAAGUGUGAAUGAAAAAUGAAGGAAAAUAGUGGAGAGAAAAAGAGACACUAAAAUGAAAAGUGUACUUAUUUAAGGGAAAGUUCAUUAAUUCUCCCACAUUGGUGGAAGAAGGGAACUUUGAAGUGUUUAUAAUAAGAAGCACUUACUCCACAUGGAUAUUGAGGCAAGAACAAGGUGGUGCCACGCGCCGUCGUCAUCGUCGCUCGCUCGGCUUCGGAUUUAAAUUUGGAUUUGGAUUUGGAUAAUAAUUGGUCGGUGAGAUCUAUCUUUUUGGACAAAGUUUAUUUGACAGAAAUUUAAUCUGAAAAUACCAAAGGAAAAAUGCAACAAUUUUUUCUAUGUUUUGAUCCUCCAUUUAUAUUCAUGCAUGCAGUGGCGAAAACACUAUUUCGAAAUGCAGUGCAGAAGCGAAUUGAUGCUUCGAAAGGGAUGGAACCCUUCAAUGAAAUGACACACUGAUUCAUGAAAUGGUAUGUCUGUUCGAAAAAGACGCAUUCUUUGGACGAACAAACAUAAUUUUUCAGAAAGGUUACACCUUUUAAGUGAAUCAUUGCCACCUUUCAGAAGAGGCACCUGAUGGCUAUAUCAACCUGUUUUCAUCCACAGGUUUAGGAACAACAAAAAAAUUUCUGAACUUACAAACUCUUCUUGUCUUCAAAAAAUUAUUCUGUGUGAUCAAUCAAACUGUUGAGUGAGUUCGAAGAGAUUUCAAUUGUCUGAGAUACCGCUAUAGUUGGUUUAUUUGGCCAUUUUAUCCUGGGAGGAAGAUUCCAUAACCUCGGGUAUAGUGAGGGGAAUUAUUCCUUAAGAACACUCCGUGAAGUCGGGGGACUUGUCCUUAAAAUUCUGUUUCAUCUUAUUUCUGAAAGUAGGAUAGAUUAUUCAUAAUCUUGUGUUGAAGGUGUUAAGGAACUUCAUAAAUGUUCUAGUCUUAGACUUGAACUUGUGUUGAAGUUAUUAUUGCAUGUAUAUACAGAUUCUUGUACCUGAAAACAUUUUAAAUAACAUUGGAUUGGGUUGAAAGUGAUUGAUAUGCGUAAUCUUCAAAAGAUCAGGUCAGUGUCCAUUUGGAUGAACAUAAGCCAUCUUAUUAAAAUCCAAAAAUGUCACAAUCUGAUUGAAAUAUAGAGUUAGUUGGUGGGGAGAUAAAUGUUUGAUUCAAUCUGAAAUCAAAGAUUGAAAUGAUUGCAUGUUUAUCUAUGUGUUUGAUAAGUGUAAGCAAUCAUUUCAAAGAUUUUGUUGAAUGACAACAGCUCCUCUCACUAAUAAACCUGAAGCGCCACAAUAAAGCACCUCUCAAACUUUGAUCAGAUGUUCUUCCAACUCAAAUCAUUUCGAACAAAUACUAAUUCCUUAAUUGAAUCGGUGAAGAUCAAAUCUGUUUAUCAAAAGGCUUCCCCAAUUGCUCAAGAUAACUCUUUUCAACUGAGGAACAUAACAAGAUCAUUUCGGUGAGAAUGGCAUGAUUUUGAAAUUAAGUGACUAUAUAUCCUUCAAGUACCGCAGGAUAUUUAUUAUAAUGUAGAGCAUAAUUUUGAGUGUAUUUAAGAUACCUCAAAACUCUUUUUAUUGCCAUCCAGUGAGUUUUGUUGGGAUUACUCGUGUACCGACUUAAUUUACUGAUAGCGCAUGCUAUGUCUGGUCGUGUACAGUUCAUUAUAUACAUUAAAAAUUCCAAUACUCUUGUGUACUCUAAUUGCGAGUCACUUUCACCUUCAUUCUUUUGAAGUGCGAAACUCGCAUCCAAUGGAGUCUUGGCAAUACCAAAUUCUAUAUACUUGAACUUGUCAAGUACCUUUUCGAUAUAAUGAGACUGUGAUAAUGCCAACCCUUUUGGAGUUCGAUGGAUUCUUAUACCUAAGAUCACAUUUGCAACUCCAAGGUCCUUCAUAUCAAACUUGCUCUCGAGCAUUCAUUUUGUUGUAUUUAUGUUAGAAAUGUCUCUACUGAUGAUCAACAUAUCAUCCACAUAUAAACAUAUAAUGACUUGGUGAUUUGGAGUGUUUUUAAUAUAAACACAUUUAUCACAUUCAUUUAUUUUGAAUUCGUUUGCCAACAUGAUUUGGUCAAACUUCGCAUGCCAUUGUUUUGGUGCUUGCUUUAGUCCAUAUAGUGACUUGAUAAGUUUACACACCUUGUUUUUCUUUCCUGGAACCAUAAAAUCCUCAGGUUGUUCCAUGUAAAUUUCUUCCUCCAAAUCUCCAUUUAGGAAUGUGGUUUUCACAUCCAUUUGAUGGAUUUGAAGAUCAUAUACCACCGCUAAGGCAAUUAACAUUCGAAUCGAGGUUAUCCUUAUUACUGGCGAGUAUGUAUCAAAGUAAUCAAGGUCUUUAAAUGUUUGAGGUUCAUUUUCUAAGAGAAAUGUUACAAAAUUCAAUCCAAACAAAGUUGACGUUCUUUGAUGUGUACUACGUCUUGGAUUUUCUUCAUUAUGUACAUUCUCACUUAGUUCAUCUCGAGGUCAUUUAGAUCCUUCGCUAGAUUGUUCGUGUUUAAUUUUAUACGGGUAAAUGUUUUCAAAGAAUUCAGCAUUGUCUGAUUCAAUUAUCGUAUUUUCAUUAAUAUUCGGAUGUUCAGAUUUAUGAACCAAAAAUUGAUAUGCUUUACUACUUUUAGCAUAUCCUAUGAACACACAGUCCACCAUUUUAGGUCCUAUAUUAACCCUUUUAGGUAUAGGAACUUAAACCUUCGCUAGACACCCUCACACUUUGAAAUAUUUCAAGUUAGGUUUCCUUCCUUUCCAUUUUUCGUAAUGAAUUGAUUGUGUCUUACUAUGGGGAACUCUGUUGAGUAUACGAUUGUCCAUAAGGAUGGCCUCGCCCCAUAAGUUCUGCGGUAAACCAGAACUUAUAAGUAAGACAUUCAUCAUUUUCUUCAAAGUUCGGUUUUUCCUUUCCGGAAUUCCAUUAGAUUGAGAUGAAUACGGGGCCGUAGUUUGAUGGAUUAUUCCUUAAGAUUGUUAUUUCCAUAAUAUAUUCGGGUAUGCAGAAUCUGUAUAUUGCAACAACAACUUCAAAUCGAGUUCAAGUAUGAACAAGAACACAAUGAAGUAUUAAAUAGCCUCAACACAAGAUCAAAAUGACCUUUCCAAAAGGUAUAUUUAUUUUUCAAAAAAUAAAGAUGAAACAAAAAUGAUUAAGGCCAAGUCGUCUGAAUUCAUGGACUUUCCUUACGGAAUAAUUCCCCUCACUGUACCCGAGGUUAUGGAAUCUUCCUCCUAGGAUAAAAUGGCCUUCAAUCCGACUAUAGCGGUACCUCAAAUAGGCGGAUUCUUCGAACACACUCACGGUUUGAAUGAUCACACUUAGAGUAUUUUUAAGACAAGAAGAAGAAGUUUUUAAUCUGAAAAUUUUUGUAUUUUCUAUCUCAUAAACCUGUGGAUGAAACCAGGUUUAUAUAGCCACUAGAUGCCCCUUUGAAAAUGUGGCAUUGGUUCAUAUUAGAGGUGUGUGACUUUCCUGAAAAUGCAUGUCUAUUCACUUAAACAAUGUAGAAAUUUUCUGAAACAGUGCACUGAUUCACUGAAAAAGUGUGUACUUUCAUUGAAGAAUUGCAACUUUCUGAAACUGUGCAAUCUUCUGUAACAGAAGCAACAAUCUGAAAUAGUGUAACCUUCUGUAAUAGAAGCAAUAAUCUGAAAUUGUGCGACCUUCUAUAACCUCAUUUCAAAUAGACGUAUCAGUUCUGAAACACUAUUACUGCGUGUAUAUAUAUAAAUGGAGGCUGAAAUAGUGCAGAAAAAUUUUACUGCAUUUUUCCUUGGCAUUCUUCGGAAUUUAAAUAAAUUUUGUCCAAAAAAGAUAGAUCUCAUCGAUCGAUCAUUUUCGAAAUCCAAAGCCGAAGCCGAGCUGAGCGAGCGACGAUGACGACGGCGCAAAGCAUCAUCUAUUUCUUGCCUCACUUGCCAUGUGGAGUAAGUGUUUCUCAUUAUAAACACUCACAAGUUCUCUUCUUCCACCAAUGUGGGAGAAAGAGUAAACUUGUCAAAAUUGAGUACACUUUUCAUUUUUGGUGUUAACUCAAUUUUUUCUCUUCUACUUGAUUUCUCCAUUUUCCAUUCAACACACUUUCAUUACUAUGAACCCAACAUGUUCUUCUAUUCCAACAAGGAAGAACCUCCUUUAUAGAGGUGUAGGAUUUCUUCCACAAAUAAAUAUCAGUAAUAUGAAUAGUCAUUUGAGGAGGAGUGGACAAUUAGUAGGAAAAAGAUGUCUUAGUGGUUACACAAGUUACUCCAAAACAAUUGAUCAUAUUCUUGUCAAUUUAUAUCCACUAGCACAAAUAAAUCAUAAGGGGAGCAUGUCAUUGUUGUUACAUGAGUUACAAGAAUAUGACACAACUUUCUCCACUUUAUGUCUACUAAUUAUCAUGUAUUUUAAUAUUAUAAUUUAAUGGGGAUCUUUCAAAAAUAACAGCAAUUUGCUAUAAAACCCACCUUCCAUAGCCACAUUUUACAUAAUUACUAUUUAUAGUCAUUGUAAUCGAUUUACGUCAGCUCUAUUCAGUUUUACAGAUAAUAUGUAUUCAUAUAAAAUAUGAAUACAAUCCCUAUUAGUCACGCAAGAAAUGAAAUUUAAUAUUUUUAAAAAGAAAAAAAAUCUCAAUCACGUUUAUCUAGUUGAACUGAAUAUUUUCUUGUCUAACACUACUAUUAUCUUUUUUUAUAUUUUUUUCUUUUUCAUGUUUUUUCCAUUUUUUCUUCUUUUUUUUCCUAUUUUUAUUUUCUUCAUUUAUUUCUUUUUGUUUUUUUUGUUUUUUUGUUUUUCUCUCUCUUUAAUCUCUAACUUCUAUUUCUCUUUCUUCUUUUCUUUUCUUCUUUGAUUUUUUUAAUUUUCUUUUUUUGUACUUAUUUUCUUUAUCAUUUUUUUAUUUUAUUUUAUAUUUUUGUAUUUUCAAAAAAUAUGACUAGUCGAGCACAAGUCAUGGAUGAUAACGUAAAUAUCACAAUUAUUUAUCGUAUUUGUAGUCACACUAUUAUUUAUAUUUUUGUAUUCAUUGAUACAACUGUAUUUGUAAUUGUAUUUUAAAGUUUGCACCUGUAUUUAUAUUUUAUAGUUCGCAUUUGUAUUUGUAUUUAAUAGUUCGCACUUGUAUUUGUAUUUGUUAGUUUAUGCCAUCAUUUAUAUUUUAUAAAAUUCGCACUUGUAUUUUAAAGAACUAUUUUGUAUUUGUAUUUUAUAAUGAACUGCAUAGUAUAUUGGAUUAUAUUUAUACUGUGGUUUUAUUGUGUUUGUAUAUUUAGAUUAUAUUUGAUUAUACUUGUAUUUGUAUUCUAUUUUCGUCGAUACCUUUUUAUUUUCUUAAAAUAUUAUUUCGUAUUUGUAUUUGUAAGUUGAUUGUAUAUUGUAUUUAGUCUUGACUAUGUACAAUUUAUCAUUUUUAUUUGUAUACAAACAAGUAAAUGCAUUAAUUGUAUUUUCUUGAUUCUAAAAUACAUAAAUAUGUAAUGUAUCAUUUGAUACAAAUGUACCGUUUUGUAUUUGUAUAUCAAGAUUAUCAUUCAUAUUUGUAAAUAAACAAAUAUCACUUGAUACAAAUACAAUGACAAACAAAUGAAACAAAUAAUUUUACAAAUACAAAUACAAUAUGUAUUUGUAUAAAAAUUUUAGUUGUAUUUAUUUGUAUAAAUAAAUACAAUUCGUAUCAAUAAAUACAAACAAGUAUUCGUAGAAAGAAAAUCAAACGUUCCUUCUCAAUAAUUAAAAAAUACAAAUGAUAGUUCACAUUUGUAUUUAUAUGUUAUAGUUCGCAUUUGUAUUUGUAUUUUAUAGUUCACACUUGUAUUUAUAUGUUAUAGUUCGCAUUUGAAUUUGUAUUUUAUAGUUCGCACUUGUACUUGUAUGUUAUAGUUCGCAUUUGUAUUUGUAUUUUAUAGUUCGUAUUUGUAUUUAUGUUUGCUAGUUCGCAUAAAUGAAAAGAAGGAGAAAAAUUGAAAAGGAAAAAAAAGGAGAAAAAAUGAAAGAAAAAGGAGGAGAAAAAAAUGAAGGAAAAAAAUACAAAAAAAGGGAGAGUAAUAGAAAAUAGAGAAAAAAAAAGAGGAGAAAAAUGAAAAGGAAAAAAAUAAAAAGAAAAAAUGAAUAAAAAAUAAAAAUAAAGAGAAAACAACAAAAAAAGGAAAAGAAAAACUGAAAAAGGAAAACUGAAAAAGGAAAAAAGAAGAAGAGAAUAAUAGAAAAUAGAAAAAGAGAGAAAAUACAUGAGAGAAGUUAUGAAUUGUAAUUAGGAAUAAUUAAUAGGCAAGAGGGGGCUAUGAAUUGUAAUUAAUUGACACUUAGGCUAAAUAAGGUAAUUAGGAGUUUAUGUUUGUUAAAAUAUGUAGUUAUCCCUAUUUUAAUACUAAAAUCCACCUAAAUUUAACAAUUAAUUAAAAAUAUUAAACUUAACCUAAUUUGCUUACUCGUUUGAACAAAAUAAUUUUUUAAAAAGAAAAAUGGAAACCUUUUGCUUAUGAUAAUUAAAGAAAUCGUAUAUUAUAUUGAAUAAAAUAGCAUUUUAAAGUAUUUUAAAUAUAAAAAUCAUAAUUACUUAUCAGUUAUAUAGAAAGAUGAGUUCAAGAACAGCCAUAUUUAAAUUAUUUGUGUAAUAUUAUAUUAGUGUUUAACAUUUUUUAAUCUAUCGAUCUAUAUAAAUAUUGAUUGAAAAUUUUACAGUACAUAAGUUUUAUUUAGAUAAAAAUAAAAUUUUAAUAAAAAAUAUUAUAAAAGUUAUUUAAAAUAAAUUUUCUCUAUAAAAUAAUUUUAGUUGUAAAAGUCUAUUUAUACAUGUCCUUUUUGAUCAUUUGUCUUUCAAAAGUACUUCUUGAAAAACUUAUCCAACACAAAUUGCUUUUUUUCAAAAGCACAGAUGUUAUUUUAUAACGGUGAUUCUCAAAUAAAAAAAUUUUCUAGCAGCAAUCCCAAACGGGCUCUAAAUUAUGCCUUUUACAAUAUAACUUGUGGGUUCCGAACUUAUUCUUUUGUCUCUAUCGACAUAAAUUCUAUAGGAAUGAAAUGGCAUAACUUGACUUGUGUUAUAUUAUAUUAUGAUACAAAAUACAAACUUAUAUGAGAAAGAAAAAUCCCUAUUGAAGUUUGGAUAGAUAAGUGGCUUGACAUUGCCCUUCAGGAGGAGGUAAAAGUCCUGUUCUGCAAAGUUGAAGGCUUCUCAUACACUUGUCAUGUUUGGACAGUCUUGGCAUCAAAAUCUUUAAGAGUAUCGGUUCUGAUGAGCUGUAAUCUGACACGUUCGUCGUAAUCCAGUAGUGAGGUGAAUUGUGAUUCUUGAGAAAUCGUUCUCCAUCUUUUGUAAGUUUAGACAAGAACAAGAUUUGAACACUACUUAAUAGUUGUCCCAUGAUUGUCAGUUUCAACCUGAGUAUUGUAUUGGGUUGAAAGUAAUUGAGAUGCGUAGUCUUCGAAAGAUCAGGUCAGUUUCCAUUUGGAUGAACAUAAAACAUCAUAUUAAAAUCCAAAAAUAUCACAAUCUGAAAUAUAGAGUUAGUAGGUGGGGAGAUAACUGUUUGAUUGAAUCUGAAAUCGAAGAUCGAAAUGAUUGCAUGUUUAUCUCUGUGUUUUAUGAGUAAGCAAUCAUUGUAAAGCACCUCUCAAACUCAGAUCAGAUGUUCUUCCAACUUGAAUCACUCAGAACAAAUACUAAUAGCUUAAUUGAAUCGUUCAAGAUCAAAUAUGUUAAUCAAAGUGCUUCUCCGAUUGCUCAAGAUAUCUCUUUUAAACGGAGGAACAUAACAAGUUCAUCUUGGUGAGAAUGGCAUGAUUUUGAAAUUGACAUAUGCUGGAAUUCAUGCUGUUUUGUCAUGUGGUAUUCAUAUUGGAUUGGGUUUGAUUCAUAAUAUUGAAAGCAUAUUUUUGAACUCUUUGCAAUCGUUUUAGUGUAGCACAUCAGGAUUCAACAACAAUAAUAUAUCCAAUGUAAUCAUACAAAUGGAGUCUGGGAAGCGGAGGAUGUGGCCGGUGUUUACGCAAACCUUAUCCCUGCCUUGUGAAAUUAGAGAGACGGUCUCCAAUAGACCCUCGCUCAGAN
rnacentral:lncRNA from 1 species